GACAGAGGGUGCAAACGUUGGUCGGAAUUACUGGGCGUAAAGCGUGUGUAGGCGGUCUCAUAAGUCGGAUGUGAAAGCCCCGAGCUUAACUCGGGAAGUGCACAAGAAACUGUUGAAUUUGAGUUCCGGAGAGGAAGGCAGAAUUCCCGGUGUAGCGGUGAAAUGCGUAGAUAUCGGGAGGAAUACCAGUGGCGAAGGCGGCUGUCUGGGCCAGUUCUGACGCUGAGGCGCGAAAGCGUGGGUAGCAAACAGG
rnacentral:rRNA from 1 species